rnacentral:rRNA from 1 species
CAGCACCUCAAGUGGUCAGGAUGAUUAUUGGGCCUAAAGCAUCCGUAGCCGGCUCUGUAAGUUUUCGGUUAAAUCUGUACGCUCAACGUACAGGCUGCCGGGAAUACUGCAGAGCUAGGGAGUGGGAGAGGUAGACGGUACUCGGUAGGAAGGGGUAAAAUCCUUUGAUCUAUUGAUGACCACCUGUGGCGAAGGCGGUCUACCAGAACACGUCCGACGGUGAGGGAUGAAAGCUGGGGGAGCAAAUCGGAUUAGAUACCCGAGUAGUCC